rnacentral:rRNA from 1 species
GGGUUGUGAGGUUAAGCGACCAAGCGUACACGGUGGAUGCCCUGGCAGUCAGAGGCGAUGAAGGACGUGCUAAUCUGCGAAAAGCGCCGGUAAGGUGAUAUGAACCGUUAUAACCGGCGAUGUCCGAAUGGGGAAACCCAGUGUGACUCGUCACACUAUCAUUAACUGAAUCCAUAGGUUAAUGAGGCGAACCGGGGGAACUGAAACAUCUAAGUACCCCGAGGAAAAGAAAUCAACCGAGAUUCCCCCAGUAGCGGCGAGCGAACGGGGAGGAGCCCAGAGCCUGAAUCAGUAUGUGUGUUAGUGGAAGCGUCUGGAAAGGCGCGCGAUACAGGGUGACAGCCCCGUACACAAAAGCGCAUGUGCUGUGAGCUCGAUGAGUAGGGCGGGACACGUGGUAUCCUGUCUGAAUAUGGGGGGACCAUCCUCCAAGGCUAAAUACUCCUGACUGACCGAUAGUGAACCAGUACCGUGAGGGAAAGGCGAAAAGAACCCCGGCGAGGGGAGUGAAACAGAACCUGAAACCGUGUACGUACAAGCAGUGGGAGCAUGAGUUUACUCA